rnacentral:rRNA from 1 species
UACGUAGGGCGCAAGCGUUAUCCGGAAUUAUUGGGCGUAAAGCGCACGUAGGCGGAUCUUUAAGUCAGGGGUGAAAUCCCGAGGCUCAACCUCGGAACUGCCUUUGAUACUGGGGAUCUCGAGUCCGGGAGAGGUGAGUGGAACUGCGAGUGUAGAGGUGAAAUUCGUAGAUAUUCGCAAGAACACCAGUGGCGAAGGCGGCUCACUGGCCCGGAACUGACGCUGAGGUGCGAAAGCGUGGGGAGCAAACAGGG